rnacentral:rRNA from 1 species
UAAGUCGUUGCUAAGUGGUAAGGAUGUGGAAGCACACAGACAACCAGGAGGUUGGCUUAGAAGCAGCCAUCCUUUAAAGAAAGCGUAAUAGCUCACUGGUCAAGUGAGUCCGCGCCGAAAAUUUAACGGGGCUAAAGUAACGCACCGAAGCUGCGGGUUGAUUUUAUCAGCGGUAGGCGAGCAUUGUCACAACUGUGAAGCCAGACGGUAACGACUGGUGGAGUGGUGACAAGAGCGAAUGCAGGCUUGAGUAGCGAUAAACCGAGCGAGAAACUCGGUCGCCGUAAGCCCAAGGGUUCCUGGGGUCAAGUUAAUCUUCCCAGGGUUAGUCGGUUCCUAAGCCGAGGCCGAAAGGCGUAGGUAAUGGAAAGCAGGUUAAUAUUCCUGCACUAGUAAGGAUGACGUUGAACGCAGGAAGGACGGAGAAGGGUCGCUGAGCCGUAGCAUGGUUUGCUCGGUUCAAACCGGUAGGCCGUCUCUUUAGGACCCCAACGUGGGACAAACGAAGAGACACUAGGCUGAGAGGUCAUGAGGAG